GACGAACGCUGGCGGCGUGCUUAACACAUGCAAGUCGAACGGAAAGGCCCUGCUUUUGUGGGGUGCUCGAGUGGCGAACGGGUGAGUAACACGUGAGUAACCUGCCCUUGACUUUGGGAUAACUUCAGGAAACUGGGGCUAAUACCGGAUAGGAGCUCCUGCUGCAUGGUGGGGGUUGGAAAGUUUCGGCGGUUGGGGAUGGACUCGCGGCUUAUCAGCUUGUUGGUGGGGUAGUGGCUUACCCAGGCUUUGACGGGUAGCCGGCCUGAGAGGGUGACCGGCCACAUUGGUACUGAGGUACGCACCAGACGCCUACGGGAGGCAGCAGUGGGGAGUAUGGCACAAUGGGCGGAAGCCUGAGGCAGCAACCCCGCGUGCGGGAUGACGGCCUUCGGGUUGUAAACCGCUUUCGCCUGUGACGAAGCGUGAGUGACGGUAAUGGGUAAAGAAGCACCGGCUAACUACGUG
rnacentral:rRNA from 1 species